ensembl:lncRNA
GGAUGCAUUAGUUGAUAAAAAGUAACAUUAAAAGACAUUAUAAUGUUACACAAGAUUUCUAUUUAAAAUAAAUUCUGCGAAAAAAAAAAUCAUGGUUUCAACAUAAAUAUUAAGCAGCACAACUGAUAUCAGUAUGAAAUGUAUUGGAUGCUGAAGAUUUCUUUUUGCCAUCACAGGAAUAAAUUACAUUUUAAAAUAUGUUAAAAUAGAAAACAGGUAUUUUAAAUUGUAGUAAUAUUUCACAGUAUUACUGUUUUUUUCCACUGACGUAAAAUUGUGACAACUAACCCCAGUCUUCCCCAUGUGAUAAAGAGAAAGUAUGUAUUUUUGUUUCAGGUGGUGGAAAGGGUUUUACUAUUAACUUGGAGACUUGUAGCUGACAGAAAAACCUGUGCAGGAGCAUGUGCAGGUGGCAGAUAACAAGUGUACAAUAACAGCCUGCGAGUGAGACCACAUUGAGGAGGCAGCACAAACAAGAAGAAACCUUCAAGAAAGUCUCAAGGCUAAAGAGGCUUCAGGU